AGAACGAACGCUGGCGGCAUGCCUAAUACAUGCAAGUCGAACGAACUCUUCGGAGUUAGUGGCGCACGGGUGCGUAACGCGUGGGAAUCUGCCCUUGGGUUCGGAAUAACAGUUGGAAACGACUGCUAAUACCGGAUGAUGACGAAAGUCCAAAGAUUUAUCGCCCAGGGAUGAGCCCGCGUAGGAUUAGCUAGUUGGUGAGGUAAAGGCUCACCAAGGCGACGAUCCUUAGCUGGUCUGAGAGGAUGAUCAGCCACACUGGGACUGAGACACGGCCCAGACUCCUACGGGAGCAGCAGUAGGGAAUAUGGACAAUGGGACGAAAGCCUGAUCCAG
rnacentral:rRNA from 1 species